UGAGGAAUAUUGGUCAAUGGGCGGGAGCCUGAACCAGCCAAGCCGCGUGACGGAAGAAGGCGCUAAGCGUCGUAAACGUCUUUUGCCGGGGAACAAAGGCGCGGACGCGUCCGCGUGUGAGUGUACCCGGAGAAAAAGCAUCGGCUAACUCCGUGCCAGCAGCCGCGGUAAUACGGAGGAUGCGAGCGUUAUCCGGAUUUAUUGGGUUUAAAGGGUGCGUAGGCGGCCCGUUAAGUCAGCGGUAAAAGCCCGGGGCUCAACCCGGCGAGCCGUUGAAACUGGGGGCGUAGAGACGGCGAGAAGUACGCGGAAUGCGCGGUGUAGCGGUGAAAUGCAUAGAUAUCGCGCAGAACUCCGAUUGCGAAGGCAGCGUACCGGCGCCGGACUGACGCUGAGGCACGAAAGCGUGGGUAUCGAACAGGAUUAGAUACC
rnacentral:rRNA from 1 species